rnacentral:rRNA from 1 species
UACGAAGGGGGCUAGCGUUGCUCGGAAUUACUGGGCAUAAAGGGCGCGUAGGCGGACAGUUUAGUCAGAGGUGAAAGCCCAGGGCUCAACCUUGGAAUUGCCUUUGAUACUGGCUGUCUUGAGUUCGGGAGAGGUGAGUGGAAUGCCGAGUGUAGAGGUGAAAUUCGUAGAUAUUCGGCGGAACACCAGUGGCGAAGGCGACUCACUGGCCCGAUACUGACGCUGAGGCGCGAAAGCGUGGGGAGCGAACAGG